rnacentral:rRNA from 1 species
GACGAACGCUGGCGGCGUGCUUAACACAUGCAAGUCGAACGGAAAGGCCCUGCUUGCAGGGUGCUCGAGUGGCGAACGGGUGAGUAACACGUGGGUGAUCUGCCCCUUACUUUGGGAUAAGCCUGGGAAACUGGGUCUAAUACUGGAGAGGACCAUGCUGUAGGUGGUGUGGUGGAAAGAUUAGUUUCGGUAAGGGAUGAGCUCGCGGCCUAUCAGCUUGUUGGUGGGGUAAUGGCCUACCAAGGCGUCGACGGGUAGCCGGACUGAGAGGGUGGACGGCGACAUUGGGACUGAGAUACGGCCCAGACUCCUACGGGAGGCAGCAGUGGGGGAUAUUGCACAAUGAGCGCAAGCCUGAUGCAGCGACGCCGCGUGGGGGAUGACGGCCUUCGGGUUGUAGUCGCCUUCCAGCCAUGACGAAGCCCUUGUGGUGACGGUAGUGGUAGAAGAAGCACCGGCUAACUACGUG